rnacentral:rRNA from 1 species
AUCGGAUUGAUACUAAGCCAUGCGAGUCAUUGUAGCAAUACAAGGCAGACGGCUCAGUAACGCGUAGUCAAUCUACCCUAUGGACGGGAAUAACCUCGGGAAACUGAGAAUAAUGCCCGAUAGAACAUUAUGCCUGGAAUGGUUUAUGUUUCAAAUGAUUUAUCGCCAUAGGAUGGGACUGCGGCCUAUCAGUUUGUUGGUGAGGUUAAUGGCCCACCAAGACUAUUACAGGUACGAGCUCUGAGAGGAGUAGCCCGGAGAUGGGUACUGAGACACGGACCCAGGCCCUAUGGGGCGCAGCAGGCGAGAAAACUUUGCAAUGUGCGAAAGCACGACAAGGUUAAUCCGAGUGGUUUCUGCUAAAGAAACCUUUUGUCAGUCCUAGAAACACUGAUGAAUAAGGGGUGGGCAAGUUCUGGUGUCAGCCGCCGCGGUAAAACCAGCACCUCAAGUGGUCAGGAUGAUUAUUGGGCCUAAAGCAUCCGUAGCUCGUUUUGUAAGUUUUCGGUUAAAUCCAUGCGCUUAACGUAUGGGCUGCCGGGAAUACUGCAUAACUAGGAAGUGGGAGAGGUAGACGGUACUCGGUAGGAAAGGGGUAAAAUCCUUUGAUCUAUUGAUGACCACCUGUGGCGAAGGCGGUCUACCAGAACACGUUCGACGGUGAGGGAUGAAAGCUGGGGGAGCAAACCGGAUUAGAUACCCGGGUAGUCCCAGCUGUAAACUAUGCAAACUCAGUGAUGCAUUGGCUUGUGGCCAAUGCAGUGCUGCAGGGAAGCCGUUAAGUUUGCCGCCUGGGAAGUACGUACGCAAGUAUGAAACUUAAAGGAAUUGGCGGGGGAGCACCAC